rnacentral:rRNA from 1 species
AUUGACCGCUGGCGGCAGGCCUAACCCAUGCAAGUCGAGCGGAGCGGCGGACGGGUUAGUAAUGCCUAGGAAUCUGCCUGGUAGUGGGGGAUAACGUCCGGAAACGGGCGCUAAUACCGCAUACUAUCAGAUGAGCCGAGGUCGGAUUAGCUAGUUGGGGGGGUAAAGGCCUACCAAGGCGACGAUCCGUAACUGGUUGUAGCGGAUGAUCAGUCACACUGGAACUGAGACACGGUCAAAGCUCCUACGGGAGGCAGGAGUGGGGAAUAUUGUACAAUGGGCGAAAGCCUAAUCCAGCCAUGCCGCGGGUGUGAAGAAGGUCUUCGGAUUGUAGAGCACGUUAAGUUGUGAGGCGUUACCAACAGAAUAAGCACCGGCUAACUUCGUGCCAGCAGCCGCGGUAAUAC